UACGGGGGGGGCAAGCGUUGUUCGGAGUUACUGGGCGUAAAGAGUGCGUAGGCGGUUUUCUAAGUUUGGUGUGAAAUCUCCCGGCUUAACUGGGAGGGUGCGCCGAAGACUGGAAGGCUUGAGUAUGGGAGAGGUAAGCGGAAUUCCUGGUGUAGCGGUGAAAUGCGUAGAUAUCAGGAGGAACACCUGCGGUGUAGACGGCUUACUGGACCAUAACUGACGCUGAGGCACGAAAGCGUGGGUAGCAAACAGG
rnacentral:rRNA from 1 species